AAUUCUAUGCAUUAUACGAUUUUAAUUCUUUGCAAUUCUAUGCAUUAUACGAUUUUAAUUCUUUGCAAUUCUAUGCACUACGAUUUUUCAUUCUUUGCAAUUCUAUGCAUUAUACGAUUUUAAUUAUUUGCAGUUCUAUGCUCUUUGUGAUUUCAAUCCUUUGCAAAUCUAUGCACUACGAUUUUAAGUCAUUGCAAUGUGGUUUUAUUCUGUGCAAUAUAAUCUGAAAUAUGUACUCGGACAAUUGUGCGCUUUUGACUGAACAAUCCGGACAACGUGGCCACCAACGGGGGAGCGAGGACGCCGGCAUUGUUUGUCAAAUUCAGGACUGGCGCUGGGAGCUGUAGGUGGAGGGAAGACCAGGAGUGGUGCAGCUCUGCAGAUGCUGAAGGGGACUGAGGCGACGCAGUCGAAGGUCCCUGCGGUGGCGGUCAGCGGGAGGUGUCAAGACCAACCAGCUCCUCGUCCAGGAAAGGUGAAUUCAUCAGACCGAUUAAAGGUUCAAUAAAGUAAAUCUUAUCAUCUGAAAAAUCCAGGACACAGUAGCUGGGUUUAUCAGCAAAUUGUAGCUGGGCUUUUAGUCACCCAGAAUAAAAGUGGUACCGUAUCCCCAACGUCAUAAUGAUGUAACCUGUCAAACCCAACACUAACAUUUCGGGAAGCUUUCAGUGCAUCUUGACAAUGCCACUGUUAGAUACAUUUACACUUGGUUGGGGCCAUUGUAUAAAAUUAAUCCAUCGAUACCAUCUCAAAA